UACGAAGGGGGCUAGCGUUGCUCGGAAUCACUGGGCGUAAAGGGUGCGUAGGCGGUCGCGCAAGUCGGAUGUGAAAUCUCAGGGCUCAACCCUGAAACUGCAUUCGAUACUGCGUGGCUAGAGUGCUGGAGAGGAGACUGGAAUUUACGGUGUAGCAGUGAAAUGCGUAGAUAUCGUAAGGAAGACCAGUGGCGAAGGCGGGUCUCUGGACAGUUCCUGACGCUGAGGCACGAAGGUCAGGGGAGCAAACGGG
rnacentral:rRNA from 1 species